UACAGAGGGUGCAAGCGUUAAUCGGAAUUACUGGGCGUAAAGCGUGCGUAGACGGUUAUUUAAGUCAGGUGUGAAAGCCCCGGGCUCAACCUGGGAAUUGCAUUUGAGACUGAAUAGCUAGGGUGCGGAAGAGGGAAGCGGAAUUUCCGGUGUAGCGGUGAAAUGCGUAGAUAUCGGAAGGAACACCAGUGGCGAAAGCGGCUUCCUGGUCCAGCACCGACGUUCAGGCACGAGAGCGUGGGGAGCAAACAGG
rnacentral:rRNA from 1 species